rnacentral:rRNA from 1 species
AUUGAACGCUGGCGGCAUGCCUUACACAUGCAAGUCGAACGGUAACAGGUCUUCGGAUGCUGACGACUGGCGAACGGGUGAGUAAUACAUCGGCACGUGCCAGAUCGUGGGUGAGCACGCAGCGACAGCUUUGCUAAUACCGCAUCAGAGCUACGGAUGUAAGCAGGGGACCGCACGGCCUUGCGCGAACGGCGCGUCCGGUGGUUGAUUAGGUAGUUGGUGGGAUAAAAGCUGACCAAGCCGGCGAUCUGUAGCUGGUCUGAGAGGACGCCCAGCCACACUGGGACUGAGAAAAGGCCCAGACUCCUACGGGCGGCAGAAGUGGGGAAUUUUGGACAAUGGGCGAAAGCCUGAUCCAGCCAUGCCGCGUGCAGGAUGAAGGCCUUCGGGUUGUAAACCGCUUUUGUACGGAACGAAAAGACUCUUUCUAAUAAAGAGGGUCCAUGACGGUACCGUAAGAAUAAGCACCGGCUAACUACGUGCCAGCCGCCGCGGUAAUAC